rnacentral:rRNA from 1 species
AUUGAACGCUGGCGGCAUGCUUUACACAUGCAAGUCGAACGGCAGCGCGGGCUUCGGCCUGGCGGCGAGUGGCGAACGGGUGAGUAAUGCAUCGGAACGUGCCCAGUAGUGGGGGAUAGCCCGGCGAAAGCCGGAUUAAUACCGCAUACGACCUGAGGGUGAAAGCGGGGGACCGAAAGGCCUCGCGCUAUUGGAGCGGCCGAUGUCGGAUUAGCUAGUUGGUGGGGUAAAGGCCUACCAAGGCGACGAUCCGUAGCUGGUCUGAGAGGACGACCAGCCACACUGGGACUGAGACACGGCCCAGACUCCUACGGGAGGCAGCAGUGGGGAAUUUUGGACAAUGGGGGCAACCCUGAUCCAGCCAUGCCGCGUGCGGGAAGAAGGCCUUCGGGUUGUAAACCGCUUUUGUUCGGGAAGAAGUCCUCUGGGCUAAUACCCCGGGGGGAUGACGGUACCGGAAGAAUAAGCACCGGCUAACUACGUG